ACCCGGCCUCGCGUUUUGAGAGGCCCCGCAGUCUACGAAAACUACCCAAUUAAAAAACACCGAUUUUGAUUAACUUUUUACAGAAUGAUGAUACCAUUAACAGAUGCAAGAAAUUUUUUUAGUAGCGAUGAUUUGGUUUAAAGGAGUGACAAAAAUCAUCAAAGUUCAGUGUAACUCCAUAAAGUCCUCAUAUCCUGGAAAGUACUUUAGAUAAAAAAAUCCAGACGCUUUCAGAGAAAUGUACUUUUUAGAGAAAUUAAACUACAUCAAUAGUUUUUUGCAAAAGUCAUACAUGAUUACAGUUUUUUGGACUAUAUCUAGAAACUCAGCAAUUU
rnacentral:lncRNA from 1 species